UGAACGCUGGCGGUAGGCCUAACACAUGCAAGUCGAACGGCAGCACAGUAAGAGCUUGCUCUUACGGGUGGCGAGUGGCGGACGGGUGAGGAAUACAUCGGAAUCUACUUUUUCGUGGGGGAUAACGUAGGGAAACUUACGCUAAUACCGCAUACGACCUACGGGUGAAAGCAGGUGAUCUUCGUACCUUGCGCGAUUGAAUGAGCCGAUGUCGGAUUAGCUAGUUGGCGGGGUAAAGGCCCACCAAGGCGACGAUCCGUAGCUGGUCUGAGAGGAUGAUAAGCCACACUGGAACUGAGACACGGUCAAGACUCCUACGAGAGGCAGCAGUGGGGAAUAUUGGACAAUGGGCGCAAGCCUGAUCCAGCCAUACCGCGUGGGUGAAGAAGGCCUUCGGGUUGUAAAGCCCUUUUGUUGGGAAAGAAAAGCAGCAGGUUAAUACCCAGCUGUUCUGACGGUACCCAAAGAAUAAGCACCGGCUAACUUCGUG
rnacentral:rRNA from 1 species